rnacentral:rRNA from 1 species
GUAAGGAAUAUUGGUCAAUGGACGCAAGUCUGAACCAGCCAUGCCGCGUGGAGGAUGAAGGUCCUCUGGAUUGUAAACUUCUUUUAUCUGGGACGAAAAAGGGUCUUUCUAGAUCAACUGACGGUACCAGAUGAAUAAGCACCGGCUAACUCCGUGCCAGCAGCCGCGGUAAUACGGAGGGUGCAAGCGUUAUCCGGAUUCACUGGGUUUAAAGGGUGCGUAGGUGGAUUGCCAAGUCCGUGGUGAAAUCUCCGAGCUUAACUCGGAAACUGCCGUGGAUACUGGUAGUCUUGAAUAUCGUGGAGGUCAGUGGAAUAUGUCAUGUAGCGGUGAAAUGCUUAGAUAUGACAUAGAACACCAAUUGCGAAGGCAGCUGGCUACGCGUAUAUUGACACUGAGGCACGAAAGCGUGGGGAUCAAACAGGAUUAGAUACCCCGGUAGUCC